GAUGAACGCUGGCGGCGUGCCUAAUACAUGCCAGUCGAGCGAACAGACGAGGAGCUUGCUCCUCUGACGUUAGCGGCGGACGGGUGAGUAACACGUGGAUAACCUACCUAUAAGACUGGGAUAACUUCGGGAAACCGGAGCUAAUACCGGAUAAUAUAUUGAACCGCAUGGUUCAAUAGUGAAAGACGGUUUUGCUGUCACUUAUAGAUGGAUCCGCGCCGCAUUAGCUAGUUGGUAAGGUAACGGCUUACCAAGGCAACGAUGCGUAGCCGACCUGAGAGGGUGAUCGGCCACACUGGAACUGAGACACGGUCCAGACUCCUACGGGAGGCAGCAGUAGGGAAUCUUCCGCAAUGGGCGAAAGCCUGACGGAGCAACGCCGCGUGAGUGAUGAAGGUCUUCGGAUCGUAAAACUCUGUUAUUAGGGAAGAACAAAUGUGUAAGUAACUAUGCACGUCUUGACGGUGCCUAAUCAGAAAGCCACGGCUAACUACGUG
rnacentral:rRNA from 1 species